AUGAAAAUACAACAAAAGUAAGAAAAAACUGAACAACACAAAAGAUAAAAACAUGUCGACAUUUUGAGCCUAAGUGUCUGAGGGAGCGAGGCUGUCAUUUUGUAAACACAGGAAGGCGGGCAGGAAAUCUUUAGCAAUGGCUACCCUAGAAGACCGUAUUUUGGGAGAGAAGCUUCAUUACUACUGCAGCAGCUCGGAAGAUGAAGAAGAAGAGGAAGAGGAAGAGGAGGAGGAGGGGGGAAGAGGGAAGCACCAGGAGGAGGGGAGGAAGUCUUGCCCCCCGCCGGAGAGAGGGGGGUGGGAGGGGUCUUCUACUAAUACGGGGCCCAAGGGGGUGCUGAAGGACUGGCAGCGGUUUAAGCAGCUGGAGGCGGAGAGGCGGGUGGAGCAGGAGAGGGAACGUGUGCUGCUGGCUAAGAAGCUCGCCAUGUCCUGCCGAUCUCAUCUGGAUGAUGAGAAGGAGAAGGAGGAGAAGAAGAAGAGUGAGGAGGAGGAGGAGGCACUGCUGGAGGAGGCUUUCCUGCGUCAGUACAUUUCAAAGAGGAUGGAGGAGAUGAUGGCAAAGACUAACAAGAGAGCAACUUUUGGCCGCCUCAUUCACCUGGAGAGUCGCGACGGAUUCCUGGAUGCAAUAGACAAGGAGAGCGAGGAUGUGACGGUUAUCAUCCAUAUCUUUGAGAAGGGUGUGCCAGGGUGCAGUGCCAUGACAGGGUGCCUCGGGUGUGUGGCGCAGGACUACCCCUAUGUCAAGUUUUGCACCCUGCCGGCAUCCGUAGCAGGGGUCAGCGCCAACUUUAAAGCUGGGGGGUGCCCGGCGCUGCUGGUGUACAGGGCGGGUCAGCUGGUGGGGAACUUUGUACGGCUGACAGACGAGUUCUCGGAUGACUUCUACGCAACGGAUGUGGAGUCCUUUCUGAUUGAACAUGGCAUCCUGGUGGACCGCUCCCUCAUUCCGCCGGGCAUCCGUGGACCGGCGGACGGCAGCGACGAGGAUGGUGACAGUGACUUCAGCCUGGAUGACUAGAGUGUGUCUGUCUGUGUGUCGGGUUCUCUGCGUUGAUGCCUUGCCCUCAUUUUGUUUUUUAAGAUGCAUUUUUUAUUUUUUUCUUCAAAGAUGCUUUUUUUUUUCUUUGGUAUCUUUUUGUAUUGUUUUAUUUUGUAAGGAUGUUCUUUUCUUUUAUCUUGUUGUUCUUAUUCAUGUAUUUAUUCUUUCUUCUUUAUCCUUUUUAAUUUCUUUUUUCAUCUAUCAUUUUUGUGUUUUCCUCAUUUUUAUUCUGUAUUGUUAUAUUAUGUUAUCCUUUUUAGUAUUAUUAUGUUUUGUUUUGUCUAUAUUUCUUUGUCUUUUUAUCUUGUUCUUAUUCAUAUUCAUGUAUUCUUUCUUUUUUUUGUUUUGUUUAUAUUUCUUUGUCUUUUCAUCUUGUUUUUAUUCAUGUAUUCUUUCUUCUCUAUCCUUUCUUUCUUCUCUAUCCUUUCUAUUUCUUUUCAUUUUUAUCCUUUUCUUUUUUUGUCUAUUGUUUGUCACCUUUGUUUUUCUUUUUCCUCUUGUCCUUUUACUUCCUUUCCUUCCUCUUACCUUGCACCUCUUGAAAAUUCUCCUUUUAUUGUUUUGUCUCUAAAUUCUAAGUUAUAUGGACCAUUUUAUACUUAAAUAUUUAGUUACUCCCUCUCAUCAGUAGGAAUGUGUGUGUGUGUGUGUGUGUGUGUGUGUGUGUGAUGAGGACCACUGGGUUGCAAGAUGAGAGAGGGAGUGAUUGUAGUUGUAGUGUAGCCAAACUUACAAACCUCAAACCUGUAUGGAUAGAUUUGUAAUUCCUUAUUCAUACCACACUUGUACUUGUGAACCAGCUGGAGCUUGGAGUGGUAGGUGGUGAGGAGAGGGAGGAGUGAGUAACGUGUCUGGGUGUUGGGGGGAGGUAAUGGUGGAAGGGGAUGGGGGAUGUUGGGGGGAUAACUGGGUGUGGGGUGUUUCCGGAGGUAAUGGUGAUGGGGAUGUUGGGGGAGAGGGGUGACGGUGAUGGGAGGAUGUUCGGGGGGAGGUAUGGUGAAGAAUGUUGGUAAUGUUGAAGGUCAAGGGGUCAGUCAGGGGUCAAUCAUGGUGGUGGCAAGGUAGGGAGGGGGGAGGGAUGAAAUGGAAAGGUAUUCAAAUGUGUGUUGUGGAGGCAAGACUGGAGGAGUGUCGAGAUCUGUACGGCGCAUCACAGCCUCACCUCAGCUCAGCCUACGGGGUGUUUAGGGCCUGUGCGUUUGUAUGUUCCUUUACUUACCUUAUCUGUCAUUCGCCCCAUGUAUUGUUCUAACCCCGCCCAGUCACUCGUGGUCGUCUGUCAGCCUCGCCUCGGGCUGUGCUCCACAAACCAAAUUUAACUAAUAUCUAGUCAGGUACUUUUUUGUAGCUGGAAGUUUUGACUACAUAAAGAAUUGAUCGCCAAAAA